CAGCCGCCGCGGGAAUACGAAGGGUGCAAGCGUUAAUCGGAAUUACUGGGCGUAAAGCGUGCGUAGGCGGUUUGUUAAGUCUGUUGUGAAAUCCCCGGGCUCAACCUGGGAAUGGCAAUGGAUACUGGCAAGCUAGAGUGUGUCAGAGGAUGGUGGAAUUCCCGGUGUAGCGGUGGAAUGCGUAGAGAUCGGGAGGAACAUCAGUGGCGAAGGCGGCCAUCUGGGACAACACUGACGCUGAGGCACGAAAGCGUGGGGAGCAAACAGGAUUAGAUACCCCCGUAGUCCCUGUCUCUUAUAA
rnacentral:rRNA from 1 species